rfam:Schistosoma rodhaini strain Burundi genome assembly, scaffold: SROB_scaffold0000854
AUGGACGAGUCCCAAAUAGGACGAAACGCGCGUCCUGGAU